AGCGAACGCUGGCGGCAGGCUUAACACAUGCAAGUCGAGCGGGCAUAGCAAUAUGUCAGCGGCAGACGGGUGAGUACCGCUUGGGAACGUACCUUUUGGUUCGGAACAACUGAGGGAAACUUCAGCUAAUACCGGCUAAGCCCUUACGGGGAAAGAUUUAUCGCCGAAAGAUCGGCCCGCGUCUGAUUAGCUAGUUGGUGAGGUAAUGGCUCACCAAGGCGACGAUCAGUAGCUGUUCUGAGAGGAUGAUCAGCCACAUUGGGACUGAGACACGGCCCAAACUCCUACGGGAGGCAGCAGUGGGGAAUAGUGGAAAAUGGGCGCAAGCCUGAACCAGCCAUGCCGGGUGAGUGAUGAAGGCCCUAGGGUUGUAAAGCUCUUUUGUGCGGGAAGAUAAUGACGGUACCGAAAGAAUAAGCCCCGGCUAACUUCGUG
rnacentral:rRNA from 1 species